GACACAUGUUAUGCAAUAUGUAUGUAUGUGUGUGUGUGUGUGUGUGUGUAUAUAUAUAUAUAUACACACACACACAUAUACACACACAUACAUACAUAUAUA
rnacentral:miRNA from 1 species